rnacentral:rRNA from 1 species
AGAGUUUGAUCCUGGCUCAGGAUGAACGCUGGCGGCGUGCCUAAUACAUGCAAGUCGAACGCUGGAGAUCUAGCUUGCUAGAUCGAAGGAGUGGCGAACGGGUGAGUAAUACAUAAGCAACCUACCCACGAAGACUGGGAUAAUCUCUGGAAACGGGGACUAAUACCGGAUAGGUAAUCGGAAGGCAUCUUCUGGUUAUUAAAGGUUAAAAACACUGGUGGAUGGGCUUAUGGCGCAUUAGUUAGUUGGUGAGGUAACGGCCCACCAAGACGAUGAUGCGUAGCCGGCCUGAGAGGGUGAACGGCCACAUUGGGACUGAGACACGGCCCAGACUCCUACGGGAGGCAGCAGUAGGGAAUUUUCGGCAAUGGGGGAAACCCUGACCGAGCAACGCCGCGUGAGUGAUGACGGCCUUCGGGUUGUAAAGCUCUGUUGUAAGGGAAGAACGGUAGAUAGAGAAUAUCUAAGUGACGGUACCUUACCAGAAAGCCACGGCUAACUACGUGCCAGCAGCCGCGGUAAUACGUAGGUGGCGAGCGUUAUCCGGAAUUAUUGGGCGUAAAGGGUGCGUAGGCGGCCUGUUAAGUAAGUGGUUAAAUUGUUGGGCUCAACCCAAUCCAGCCACUUAAACUGGCAGGCUAGAGUAUUGGAGAGGCAAGUGGAAUUCCAUGUGUAGCGGUAAAAUGCGUAGAUAUAUGGAGGAACACCAGUGGCGAAGGCGGCUUGCUAGCCAAAGACUGACGCUCAUGCACGAAAGCGUGGGGAGCAAAUAGGAUUAGAUACCCUAGUAGUCCACGCCGUAAACGAUGAAUACUAAGUAUUGGGGAAACUCAGUGCUGCAGCUAACGCAAUAAGUAUUCCGCCUGUGGAGUAUGCACGCAAGUGUGAAACAUAAAGGAAUUGACGGGGGCCCGCACAAGCGGUGGAGUAUGUGGUUUAAUUCGACGCAACGCGAAGAACCUUACCAGGCCUUGACAUCCCUUGCAAAGCUGUAGAGAUACAGUAGAGGUUAUCAAGGAGACAGGUGGUGCAUGGUUGUCGUCAGCUCGUGUCGUGAGAUGUUGGGUUAAGU